CUGUGAUGUGGAGGCCAUAGCUCCACUGGACUCAUGAGGAGACUGAGGCUCAGAGCAAUGAAGUGACCUGCUCAAAGUUAAGGAGCUUCAGUUUGGACCCAAUUUGUUCUGAUCCUAAGGUCACUAUCCUUAAUCCCUCUCCCUGUGGGGUCUUCCCUAUCUUGAGCCUGUGGACAGCUGUGCAGUGGCAAGAAAAAGGCCUUCAGAGCUACGCAGACCUGGCUUCAAAUCCCAGCCUCCCUGAUGAGCCCUGGUGGUCUUGGUAAGUCACCUCACCUCUCUCAGCCUCAGUUUCCUCACUGAAAAAAUAGGAGCCACACUGCACAUGAUGUGGGAGUAUGGUGGGGAUCUAAUGAAAGAAGGCACACAAGCACCCGGGGGGGGCCUGGGAUGCAGCCAGUGCUCAGUACACAGCCACUCACUGGCUCUGCUCCUCCCCCCAUUGACAUCUAUGCUUCCAAAGCUGGGGUGCAUGCUUGCCCUUGGGACUCAGACACCAUAUUGUGAGGAAGCCCAAGCUACAUGCAGAGGCCACUAUAGUUGUUCUGGCCAACAGCCCAAGCUUCAGCUGCCAGACAUAUAAAUAAACCAACUCUUCAAAUGAUUUCAGUUUCCAGACUUCAGUGCAUCCCAGGUAAUGUCCAGAGGAGCAG
rnacentral:lncRNA from 10 species